UACAGAGGUCUCAAGCGUUGUUCGGAUUCAUUGGGCGUAAAGGGUGCGUAGGUGGCACCGUAAGUCGGGUGUGAAAUUUCGGAGCUUAACUCCGAAACUGCAUUCGAUACUGCGGUGCUUGAGGACUGGAGAGGAGACUGGAAUUCAUGGUGUAGCAGUGAAAUGCGUAGAGAUCAUGAGGAAGACCAGUGGCGAAGGCGGGUCUCUGGACAGUUCCUGACGCUGAGGCACGAAGGUCAGGGGAGCAAACGGG
rnacentral:rRNA from 1 species